rnacentral:rRNA from 1 species
UACGUAGGUGGCGAGCGUUGUCCGGAUUUACUGGGCGUAAAGGGCGUGCAGGCGGUUUGCUAAGUCUAGGGUGAAAGCUCCCGGCUCAACUGGGAGAGGUCCUUGGAUACUGACAGACUUGAGGGAGGCAGAGGAGAAUGGAAUUCCCGGUGUAGUGGUGAUAUGCGUAGAUAUCGGGAGGAACACCAGUGGCGAAGGCGGUUCUCUGGGCCUUACCUGACGCUGAGACGCGAAAGCGUGGGGAGCGAACCGG